UACGGGGGGGCAAGCGUUGUUCGGAAUUACUGGGCGUAAAGGGCGCGUAGGCGGCCAGCACAAGUCAGUUGUGAAAUCUCCGAGCUUAACUCGGAAAGGUCAACUGAUACUGUGCGGCUAGAGUGCAGAAGGGGCAACUGGAAUUCUCGGUGUAGCGGUGAAAUGCGUAGAUAUCGAGAGGGAACACCUGGCGGCGAAGGCGGGUUGCUGGGCUGACACUGACGCUGGAGGCGCGAAAGCUAGGGGAGCGAACGGG
rnacentral:rRNA from 1 species